GUCGCGGAAGCCGCGAAUGUAAAUAUUGUAUAUAGCAACACCGAUACUCUAUGAUGGUGACACGGUUGCACACUAGCCUGUCAAGGACAGUGGUUUCCAGUGGCUGGUACAUCGGUCACUUACAAGUGGCAGGAUUGAAGGUGAGAGUAACAGAUUGCAAUAAUAGAUUCAUAAUAAAUAACUAGAAUCUGGGCGAUUUGCUUCGCUAUCUGAAGACGCAGUAGUUAGUCUUCCCCCCUACAGAGAUAUGCGACAUGGUGGAGAUGCUGGGAUUUGUUGCAAAUCAAAUAUUUGCCAAUUUUAAGAAUUCAAAAUAUUCUUAAUUCGUGUUUAUUGAGAAAUUGCAAUUUGUUACUCUCAACGCCACGUAUCAUUCGCUAACGAAACUAAGAUUGUCGAGUCUGUCUCAUAGUAAAAUGAGCUAUUUGCUUAUAAAAUUGAGAUUGGUUACGUAAUAAUAUUAUGAUGGGAAUAUUUUACGCGGAUAGUAUGAAUGCAGAAUCAUUUUAGUGUGAUUUUUUAGAUAAAUGAAAGUUGAUUGAUUGAACGAUUGAUUGGUUGAACCGGACGUGGUAAUUAGAAAAUGGCGUCUAGGAUUAAAAGUUAAAACAUAGGUGAUGGGUAUAUUAUACUCUUUGUCUAUGAUAUUGUGGUUAUGAAUGCGUGAUGUACGCUAAGCUUUAUUCAUGGAACAUAGACUACUAGUUAAUCUAUGGUCAUAGAGUAUAUCAAUAUAUAGUGAGCUGUGGAGUCUGUGGACGAUAGACUUUUUAGUCAUUACAUUUAUUAAAUGUGGUAAAACGUAUAAAUAGACAAGUAAUUUAGUUUAAUAAAGAGGAUUAAUUAUAAGAUUAAUUUUGAGACAAAUUUCGGAAUCCGUACGUAAAGAUAAAAGAGUUGAGUAUCAUAUUUCAAAUUUGCCGCGUAAAUACACAAGUUCAAGUUCGAUCCUGUAUCAGACAUCGGCCAUUUUUAUUUUUCUUACAAAGAGACGCGAGUUUGGAAAACCAUAAAAAACGCUGAAUCAGUAUAAAGUUAAUAUAAUUAAACGGGUAAGCACAUUCGUUUUGUACAUUAUAAGACGACCAUUAUAUUUCUAUCGUUUGAUAAUUUGAG